GACGAACCGUGCGAACGUUGUUCGGAAUCACUGGGCUUAAAGGGCGCGUAGGCGGUCGUGACAAGUCACUUGUGAAAUCUCCAGGCUUAACUCGGAACGGUCAAGUGAUACUGUCGGACUAGAGUACAGAAGGGGCAACUGGAAUUCUCGGUGUAGCGGUGAAAUGCGUAGAUAUCAUGAGGAAUACCAGAGGCGAAGGCGGCUACCUGGACAAUUGCUGACGCUCGAGGCACGAAAGCGUGGGGAGCAAAAGGG
rnacentral:rRNA from 1 species